GAUGAACGCUGGCGGCGUGCCUAAUACAUGCAAGUCGAGCGAAAAGACGAGGUGCUUGCUCCUCUGACGUUAGCGGCGGACGGGUGAGUAACACGUGGAUAACCUACCUAUCAGACUGGGAUAACUUCGGGAAACCGGAGCUAAUACCGGAUAAUACAUCGAACCGCAUGGCUCAAUAGUGAAAGACGGCUUUGCUGUCACCUAUUGAUGGAUCCGCGCCGCAUUAGCUAGUUGGUAAGGUAACGGCUUACCAAGGCAACGAUGCAUAGCCGACCUGAGAGGGUGAUCGGCCACACUGGAACUGAGACACGGUCCAGACUCCUACGGGAGGCAGCAGUAGGGAAUCUUCCGCAAUGGGCGAAAGCCUGACGGAGCAACGCCGCGUGAGUGAUGAAGGUCUUCGGAUCGUAAAACUCUGUUAUUAGGGAAGAACAAAUGUGUAAGUAACUGUGCACGUCUUGACGGUACCUAAUCAGAAAGCCACGGCUAACUACGUG
rnacentral:rRNA from 1 species